ensembl:lncRNA RSF1-IT2 RSF1 intronic transcript 2
UGAUAUUUUAAGGAGAUUCAUUUUUGAAUGCUGAGAUGUGCAGCUAUAUAUUCUUAAGAGAAAACUAUUACGUGUAUCAAAACUGUUUUUUUUUCUUUUUUUUCUGAGACGGAGUUUUACUCUUAUUGCCCAGGCUGGAGCACAAUGGCGCGAUCUAGGCUCACCGCAACCUCCACCUCUUGGGUUCAACCGAUUCUCCUGCCUCAGCCUCCCGAGUAGUUGAGAUUACAGGUGUGAGCCACCAUGCCCGGCCAAAACUUUCUUUUCAUUUUGAGUUUGAGUGCAGCAAAAAAGUGUAUCAAACUAGAAUGAGCAUUUGCAUAUGUAAGGACAAUUGGAAAUACUCUUGCUCGUAGUGAAUAGAUUACUGGUAAUAAGUGAGACAAGAUGUUAAAUUAUUUUUUAUAUUUUCUAUUGUACCUGAUGAAAGCACAGAUAUUUAUGAUGUUACUCAUAAUGAUUUCUUUGUAACUUUGAUGAGAAUUUUAAUAUGACUGGAGAUAAAAGAACUUACUUCCCUGUAUCGUUAUCUAGGGACUUUUUUGUAUUAAAAAAAUUAAAAGUGG